GCUUGAGUGGCAGAGCCUGGUAAUUGCAAAAGACCUAAGAUCUUUUGAUCAGAGGUUCAAAUCCUCUCUCCAGUU
rnacentral:tRNA from 1 species